rnacentral:lncRNA from 1 species
UGACUCCACAGGACAAAAAUUAACAGGCUGAUUUAAACAAAACGAGCAGGAAACAACAGCAUGUUGCCAUACACAAAGCACGGAGCUUAUGUCUUGGUGCAGGAAGAUAAAGCAGGUGUGACUUGAGUUGCAAUGAGGGCACCUUUCUGACCUGCAAACUGAAGACUUGCCUGGUUACAGGAUCAAUGUAAUCAAGGAUCAAUGCAAUCAGGAUCAAUGUAAUACGGGACAUGAUUGGAAUGGAGAGUCCCUGUAGUCUUCUGCUUACCUCUUGGAUGUGCAGCGUGCGAGGGCUGAACCCACUGUUACCAUGGGGCUCCUGGCACAGCAAGCCUGGAGCCUAUGCAGAGAGAAGACAUCCGAGUGCAAGACAACAAUCAGAAGGAAAUAUUUUAAUGCUUCACAACACCUCUCAGUGAAGAGCCCUGAGGCUGGCUGACACGAGAACAAAGGUGUAAGAAGUUAAAGGGCACUGGAAAGAAGAUCAGAGGAGAUUGGCAUUUCUUGGCAGACGGCCUGGGGGUUGGAGAGUAGAGGAGGUAUGGGGAAGAGAUUUCUUUUUGUGUCUGCUUAUCUUAUGCUUAUUGAAAUUGGCAAGUGACUUCAGUGGAGAAGAUGCACAGUGCUUUUUGGUUCUUUCCACAGCUACGACCACUCUAACCUGCAUGUGCAGCGGGGCAAAGCUGGUUCCUACAAAGCUACACCUGCUGCCUGCACACAGACCCUUCAAAAAACCUGCUGACAACUAGCUGAAACAUACUUAAAGACCAAGUCCAAAACAGCAUGCAUUGUUUACCCUUGCUGUAAGGAGUUUCUUCCAGUCUUGCUCGUUAUCAAAUCAAGAAUUGUCAUAUGUGGUUACAGACGUACUGGUUACUUUGGUUUGGGUACCUCACCUCUGAUGGUAGUGCAAUAUUUCAGUAUAAAGAAUAAGAAUCUCUUCCUGAAAACAAGAGGCAGAAAUUAUUCACCUAGAUAAGACCUAAAAUUAUAAUUCAUAACAUCUUUCUUGCUUCCUUGGAGAAAAGAACUCCCAGCCUAAUAAUUAUUUUCCAAUUAAGAAAAAAAGAAAGGCUGCUAUUUUUAAGGAGACACUCUGUAUGUUUCUUCUGAUUCCUUUAUUUUUAUUUAUUUUUUCUUUUGCACUUGAAAUCAAGAUUAAAUUUAACUUAUUUUCAAGUUGCACACUGUAAAGAUUUAGGGUUCUUAAGGAAAGUUUGUGUUUUAAAAUGAGCUAACCAAACACAAAAAUGCCAGGAAUAUUUUAAGUAAGACCUCAUUAGGUAAAGACCAUGACUGCAAAUAUUUGUCGCCUCUCUGCAGGCACAUCAUGUUUUUAGAAGAGGAUUUAUAUAGGCUAACUCAUUUUUCUGCUUCAGCCAUUUGGACACUCAGCAAAUUUCUUCAGCUUCUCUGGUUUCUCCCAGUUUGCUCCCUCACACCACUCGUUCUUUAUCCUGUGAAAUUUCACUGAGGUUAUAGCGGCUCUUAGAUGCAAAAAGCAAAAUAAAUAAAGGCAAGAACAAAACCCCAACCCCUUUUUUCUUCAGCCUUCUCCAGUCUUAGAUUUUCACUGCAUGCCGAUGGUAUGUGGCUGUUCUUAAUCUCGAAAGCCAUGACGCAAAACAUAUGAGGACAGCUUCUGGUGAACAAAGCCAAAUGACAGCUCCAGGCCCCCAGUGCCUGCCGCUGGUGGUACUGCUCACAAGAAACAAAACUAUGGGGAGGAAGGGGGAGGAGAAUCCCUUUUGGGGAUCAUUCUCAUUAUCCUUCCCCAUGGCAGAUUUCUGCUGAAUCAUUUGCCCUACUCAGUCCCUGGAGGUUCAUUCUCAUGGGUUGAUAUUGGCAGCCUCCUACAAUUACAGGAUGAGGCUAUCACACUUUUAUCUGCAAACAGACUCACUAAAUGAGCACGACUCCCUCUACAAUAGUAAAGCUAUCACAAUCCAAUUCAUAAAAAUGAACACAUAGAUUCUACCCAAAGGAGUUUACAGUCAGAUCAGACUCAGGCAGCAAAUCCUACACUGCCUGUUUUCCAACACACCUGUAAGCUCCAGUACUGUCUUGUGACAAAUCAUAUCCUGCAUUAAC